UGUGUGUCAUUUGACCCAAUUUGUGGUCCGUUACAUCACUCCAGUGAUGUGUCUGUCUGUGCAUUUGUGUUUCUGAUGUGUUCCCUAUAUUUGGCCAAAGUGUGACAUUGGAAACGCCCUCCUUACGGUUUCUAGUGGCCAUGUGCCCAUCUCUCCGCACUAUAUGUCGGCUAUAAAAGAGCUGCUGCACCUUACACACGACGCGGUCCAUAUCCAGACACAUUACAUACAGACAAACUCAAACUCAAUCAUCAAAAUGCCUUCAAGCACAAGAAUUAUGGCGCCUCAAAUCAAGAAGACAGGAAGGAAAAUGAAAGCCGGAAAUACUCCUGUUGAAAAACUUCCAAUUUAUGAGCCGAACAUCCCAGAGCCGACGUCCCGAGAGGAGCUGCUCAAAUACUGGCUCAAUAUCUCAUUGGACGAACGAACUGCCAAUAAAGUGCUGUGGCUGACCGAGGGCGGGGCUAAAGUGUCCCGCAUGACAGAUGAGGUGUGUCCUUACCUGGACAGGCCAGAGAGAUUUGACCACAGCCCUCAGGUGCUGUGUAAGGAGUCUGUCUGGGCGUCGCGCUGUUAUUGGGAGGUGCUGUACUCUGGCUGGGUGGUUAUAGGAGCAGCAUGUGAGGGUGCUGGGAGGAAGGCAGGCGACGGUCCCUGUGGCCUCGGGGAGAACGAGGAGUCAUGGGGUCUGGGUUGGGCCAGAUCCUGUUAUGAAGCCUGGCAUAAAGGAACCAGCAGCAGGGUGGCAGACGUGCCUCAGUGCUGCACUAUAGGGGUGUAUGUGGAUCAGCCCGCGGGUCUGCUCUGCUUCUACACCGUGGAGACAGAGGAAGAUUCAAAGAAAAAAGAAGUCAAACUUCUUCGCAGGUUUAAAAAUCCCAUAAAGGAGAACAUUCUGCCAGGUUUCUGGGUGGGAAGACAGUCCUCUUGCUUAAUACUCAAGAAAGAGGAAUGAGGUAGAGGGGGAGACAAGUAAUACUGUGGCUUGUAUUUUAUUUUACACUGUAAAACCUCAUAUCAUCACUUUAUUUUUGAAAUUACUGUUCAUCUGUUUUUCUGCUAAUGCCUAUUUGUAAUCAUGCAUUUUCAGGUUCACAAAUUUGAUUUAAAAAAUGCAUCAUGCAUAUAUAUAAUCAUUCUAGAAUUCUAGAAUUAAUUUACACUCUUAAAAAUAAAGGUUUUUAUUGGAAUCAAUGGUUCCAUGAACAACCUUUAGCAUCUUUUGAUCCUUUCCAUCCCACAAAAUGUUCUUUAUAGAGGAAGAAGGUUCCUUACAUUUUUUUAAAUGUUCUCCACACUUACAGUAGAAACAAUUGUUCUUUUAUUAACUGUUCACUGAAAGGUUAGAAUCCAAAAUUAUACUUUUAUGGCAUGACUGCAAAAACCGCAUUUGAAACCGGUAUU